GUGGCCAUAGCGAAGGUUUGCACCUGAUACCAUUCCGAACUCAGUAGUUAAGCCCUUUAGCGCCUAAGAUAGCUGAAAAGCAAAAAUCGGGAGCUGCUUUUUUUUAUUUUCUUUUUUAAGAAAAAAUAAAAAAUAAA
rnacentral:rRNA from 1 species